rnacentral:tRNA from 1 species
AAUUUUUUAAUAUAAUAAGUAUAUUCUGCUUCCAACUGAAAUGCCUAGUACAACUAGAAAAAUUA